rnacentral:rRNA from 1 species
AGGACGAACGCUGGCGGCGUGCCUAACACAUGCAAGUCGAACGAGGUCCAUGCAGUGGCAACACUGCGGAAGACCUAGUGGCGAACGGGUGAGUAACACGUGAGGAACCUGCCCCGAAGACCGGGAUAACCCUCCGAAAGGAGAGCUAAUACCGGAUACCCCACCGGAUCGCAUGAUCUGGUGAGGAAAUGGAUUCCGCUUCGGGAGGGCCUCGCGGCCUAUCAGCUAGUUGGUGGGGUAACGGCCCACCAAGGCAUCGACGGGUAGCUGGUCUGAGAGGACGAUCAGCCACACUGGGACUGAGACACGGCCCAGACUCCUACGGGAGGCAGCAGGUGGGGAAUCUUGCGCAAUGGGACGAAAGCCUGACGCAGCAACGCCGCGUGGGGAUGAAGGCUCUCGGGUUGUAAACCCCUUUCAGCAGGGACGAAUCAAGACGGUACCUGCAGAAGAAGCCCCGGCUAACUACGUG